GACGAACGCUGGCGGCGUGCCUAAUACAUGCAAGUUGAGCGAUGAAGAUUGGUGCUUGCACCAAUUUGAAGAGCAGCGAACGGGUGAGUAACGCGUGGGGAAUCUGCCUUUGAGCGGGGGGCAACAUUUGGAAACGAAUGCUAAUACCGCAUAACAACUUUAAACAUAAGUUUUAAGUUUGAAAGAUGCAAUUGCAUCACUCAAAGAUGAUCCCGCGUUGUAUUAGCUAGUUGGUGAGGUAAAGGCUCACCAAGGCGAUGAUACAUAGCCGACCUGAGAGGGUGAUCGGCCACAUUGGGACUGGGACACGGCCCAAACUCCUACGGGAGGCAGCAGUAGGGAAUCUUCGGCAAUGGACGAAAGUCUGACCGAGCAACGCCGCGUGAGUGAAGAAGGUUUUCGGAUCGUAAAACUCUGUUGGUAGAGAAGAACGUUGGUGAGAGUGGAAAGCUCAUCAAGUGACGGUAACUACCCAGAAAGGGACGGCUAACUACGUG
rnacentral:rRNA from 1 species